GUUUUCGAGGGGGAAAUGCAAGCACAUUCUCCAGCAUGGAGUCCCUAGAGGCAGUGCAUUUUAAACCCUAAAUGUGAAUUAUUAUGUGAGUGUCCGAGUAGAGUUCCAGUUCCGUUUGGAGAAACUGUAUGAGGCGUGUUCCGUGUGGGUGUGUGUGCGUACGGAUACGUGGAAGCAGGAUCUCGGUGUCGCGGGUGUCCCUAGGCUGGGAUCUCCCCCUCUCAUCAGAUAAGGAGAAUCCUCUAGCUCCCCAAAACUGGCCCCCAUAACCAAUCCCGUCUCAGUUCGUAAGGGGUUAACCAAAGCCGAUUCCAAGGAAACACAGGUCCCCCCCACCCCCCGCCACCCUCCACUUACCCCACCCACAGUUCUGCCUCGGACCCCGGCCAAUCCCCCAGAUCUCCCCCGGGACCCCCCACCCCGCAGCCCACCCACCCGAGCGCACAGCUCCUCACCUGAGGGGCCCAGUCGCGUCGGGCCUCCCGAGGGGGCUGCGAGUGUCAGUCGGCUCUCCGCACGUGUCCGCGGCCUCGCGGAGCAGUCCACCCCUGGCUGGUUUCUGCUUCCACCUGCUGAUCUCACAGAGGUGAGGUGAUAACAGUGAUGAAACAAAAUCUUCAAACCACAGCACACACUGCAAGCUAUUUGGCAUAUGAAGGUCUUGACCUGAGAAAACCAUCUUGGAUAACUGCAGCAAGGAAAAGGAAAAAUGCAACACCUAGGAGAUUUCAGUAAACAGUAGAAUCAUGCCAACCUAAUCUGUGUUAAAAUGCUUGGAAUGUGGGAGCCGCUGAUGAUGCCUCUUGUCUGUGUGUCUGACUGAAUCCUUUCUUUUCUCAGAGCAGCAAAGCAAAGCCUGGGAACCAGGCCAAAUGCCUGCCACUUACCUUAAAUUGAUCAGCCACUUUGAGAUUAAAACCCCUGAAAGCUGCCACACCGUGAAAACAAGGCCUCCUUCACAUUAAAGGCAAAUUGCGACUUUGGGUUUGCUGUGAUCUUUUUUCCAUUUUAUCCAGUUUUUCACAGUGCACUUUUUUCCCCCUUUCCAUUUAUGCUCCAAUAUAGAAGCCAAUAGUUACAGCAUCUUGGCCAAGCAUUCAUUAAGGUUUAUAAGAACAAAAUUUAUGGUUAUUUAGGAGUUGGCACAAAGGCAGACUGUUGCUGGAAAAAGAAAAAGAAAUACAGGUGGGAAAUAGAAGCCUCCACAAAGGCCCACACUAUACAGUAGUGUACUAGACUCUAGUAGUGGGCUGGGAGGAAAAUGAAAUAGUAUUUGAAACCAGCUACUCUUCUAUUCUGAAUCAUUCUCAUUUAUGGCUCUGCAGAUUAUUGAAACAAGUAUACUGGUUAUUCCAGGAGAUUUUUCUGUCUUGGGUAAAUGCUACCAUUUACAGGAGCUGACAGUAGAGAUAAAUAGAUGUGUGCCAAUCUGAGUGAUCUGGCAGUUUGGCUAAAGGAUAAAGUGCAUUUAAAAAAGAAAUAUAUAUA
rnacentral:lncRNA from 1 species